AGAGCGAACGCUGGCGGCAGGCUUAACACAUGCAAGUCGAACGGAUCCUUCGGGAUUAGUGGCGGACGGGUGAGUAACACGUGGGAACGUGCCUUUUGGUUCGGAACAACACAGGGAAACUUGUGCUAAUACCGAAUGUGCCCUUCGGGGGAAAGAUUUAUCGCCAUUAGAGCGGCCCGCGUCUGAUUAGCUAGUUGGUGAGGUAAAGGCUCACCAAGGCUACGAUCAGUAGCUGGUCUGAGAGGAUGAUCAGCCACAUUGGGACUGAGACACGGCCCAAACUCCUACGGGAGGCAGCAGUGGGGAAUCUUGCGCAAUGGGGGAAACCCUGACGCAGCCAUGCCGCGUGAAUGAUGAAGGUCUUAGGAUUGUAAAAUUCUUUCAGCGGGGACGAUAAUGACGGUACCCGCAGAAGAGCUCCGGCUAACUCGUGCCAGCAGCCGC
rnacentral:rRNA from 1 species